UUGUACCCCUUGUUCUUAGACUUGUCGUUAGUAGAGUUUUGGUACAAUGACUUUCAGGUUCUAGGGGUUGUUCUUUCGCAUUAGUUUGGUUAGUUGUUUGUUAAAACCUUGGAGUUUAUGGGGACUCCAUUUUUAUAGUCAUUUAAACCUGCUUCCGUAUCUUUAAAUGUCGUGGUUUCCAAAAAAAUUGUUUGUUUGGGUUGUAGUAAUGGUUCUCCCAUCGGAGGGUUAGUGUGGGUGCCAAUCACGACGGUUUGGGUCGUGACAACCAUGGUAAGCACUUGUUGAACUUGGCUCAAUCAUCUUUGCUCUAGAUUACAAAGACACCUACAAUGGAAGACAAUGUGACAACACUGAGGCCAAAUCUAUGUAUAUAUUUUCUAUGCCUUCUGAAAUUAUAAAUAACAACUUACAAGGUUACAAACUAGAAAUAAUAGUAGUAAGAAUGUUAUGUUUUCUCCUAGGCAUGAGUCUCUAUCUUCAUUUCUGUGUCUGAUAAAGGCAUAUUAAGUACACAAGAGCCUCUUUGCCCUCAGUGGGACUUUUCGGUGCGAAUUCGGAUUUAGUCGGACUCCAAUGUGGAUACCGGACAUCGGGUAGGAAACCAAAAAAAAAAAAGUACACAAGAGCCUCAUAUCAUUUCUAAAUUAAACGACUUUGUUCCCCUCUAAUUUCUAUCAUAUCGAACGUAAUUCAAAUUUUCUCUUAGAAGAAUUCACAACUAUCAAAUGUAAUUCAAAUUUUUACUCCUAGAAUAAUUCACAACUACAUAUUAUAGAUUCCCGCAAGAAGAGUUUAGAUGUUAGCAUCAUCUACUUUACAUCUCGACAUAACUACACAUAAUUGUUAUUCGGGUAACCAAUGCCAAGAUCAUUCACAUCCCCGACAUGAGCAUCAAUUUUCAAACACGAUAUAUGUUAUCUUACAGAUAGAUUUGUUGAUAUUUAAGCAUGCCACAACAUUCUAACCCAAAAUUUUCAAAAUAACUUGAAUGGAACUUACCUUGGAGAAUUGUUGCACAUCAUUUGUUGGCAUUGAGGUAGACCAAAUGCUUUUUAGAGCCUAAAAAAAUCAACUCCUGCAGCACACAAAUGAACAUUCAUAUGUUAACAAAAGAUAAAAGGGAAUAUACACUCAAAGCAAUGUUUGUUGACACUAUAAUACUCAAGCAUACGACACCCAUUAAUUGCUCAAUACCAAAACUUGAUAUUUAAUAAGGCGACUUUCAUCCGAUUUCAGGUUAUCUGUAGAUUGUAGACUAACAAACCACUGAAUUGAUUGAGAUCAAAGUCCACAGAUCCCGCAUAUUUACAUGUUCUCGGGGUCAUCUGCAUCAUCAUGUUUAAAUUGGGCAAGAUGUUUUGGCUAGUCUUGGUAAAAAAAAACAUUACAUAAAGGAAUUCUAAGGGUCAAGAUAAGUACAAAAAUUAAAAGAAAGGUUGAAGCAAGAUGCAAACAGGUGUACAGGACGGAGCUGAAAAGCUGUUAUUUGUUACAUCUCUGAGAUGAAUAAAUCAUGAAGUGUAAUCUCUCAGCUAGGACUCACAGUUUCAAAAUGCAAAAUUCAAAUGGUAAAGGCCUAAACUCUCAUAUUCGCCUUCCUCAAAUCUAAAGAGGAAUCAUAAAUUGAAUAGUUUGUUUAUUGGUACAAAAAUCAUUGCAGAAAUUCAUCCUCAAUGCGAAUAGUUCAUGAUACGUACUAAGAGGAGGAUCCAUGGCUUACUGUUCUAGAUUAGGAAUACAUCUAAUAUUGGUUCACACCCUGAAUAACAAGGAAUAUUCAUAGCAAUACAGAAACUGCAAACUAAAGUGAAGAGAAUUAAGAAGAUCAAGCACUAAAGAAAUAUGAUGUAGUUCAGAAACGUAUUUGUAAAUGGUUAUUUUUACAAAUCCAUACAAGAUUACAAAGUAUGGGACAUAGAAAAAGCUGAAAAAUAGGAUAGACACUUUCACCUAACUUUCAAAAUGUCUUUCUUUGAUAUUCCAGCUUAAUACCAAUGUAUUCAAAUUCACCUAGUAAACUUGAAUACAAUCGGUAAGAUGAUAAAUGAAAGCAUAUAGUAGUAGUCUAUUAAUAUCAAUGAUGUUCCUGUUAUUGGCACAAUAUGCCAUUAUACUUGUAAUCCUAUUGGAAUGUAUAGUUAUUCCAACAGGAUUGUCAGUAGUUAAGCUUUUGUCGAGACAUCUUCUUCAACUUCAGUUAAUUCGAGCAAUUCUCUACUAACAACACUUAAUUUUUAUAUAUUUUUAUCGAUUUAUGAUUAAAUAACUAUACAGAAAUCAACUUUCGCAUAGAAAAUUAAACCUUAUAACUGUAAUAUAAGCUACAACAUCUUUAUUUUACUUGUCCUUUUAAAAUAGUCCAGUUUAUAGAAAACCUAGAAAGUGAAUAUUACUAAUAGUACAAAGAAAUUUUAAUUACAAAGGCAGUGGCAUUCAUAUUAAUAAUCUGCCCAUCAAUAUAAUACAUAAAUAGAAAGUAGUUUGAAGAUGAACCAAAAACAGAAAGAAAAAAGACCUCUAUACUUUUUUUGUUUGAGAAUUAAAAACAGGACUCUAUAUUUGAAAGGAAAUAGCAGAUCGCACAACAUCUUAAGGUGUUAUGCUACUUUUUUUUCUUCAAAAUAUUUUAGUAGCAAUAUCAAAAGUGAUCCAUACAGAAAUAAAAAUACACAAUACAUCUUCUGCAGAGUAAUUUUGCAUGCAACAUCUAUACCUUACGUGAAUGGAAAAUAGAUUUACCCCUUUUUACUUUGAAGCUUUCAAAAGUGAGAAAUCAAUACAAACAUCUACCAAGGCAUAGUUUAUACUUUAAUGGCAAAAUGAAAUAAUGAGGACUCCUCCUUCACAUCACAAGGCAUAAGAACUUAGAAAAAUCUAUUUACAACAUCAGUAUUCUAAUUAUUAUCCAAGCAAAAGUGUUCUUUAUUUUUUUGUCAAAUUCUGAAAAAUGGCAAGUCCAAUUUAUCAUUAUCAAUGUACUUCUCUGUUCCGUUAGAAUAAAACUUUGACAUGUUAUGAACGCCCAAGUUAGCAAAGCUUAUUUGCUACCAUAUUAGCAUCUUUAAUACAAUGGCCUAUUAAAAAUAUAUCACAGAGUUGUAGGCUUUUUUUUUCACUCGUGGGAUUAUGCUCAGUAUGUCGUCAUUGUGCUCUCCAAUUGCCAUGUAAUUUUCUAUCUAUAUUAACAUAGAGUUAAAUGCUAUGUUAACAUAGUUGUAGCGAUUCUGAAUGCACCAACAUAAGCCUAAUAUUAUGCCUACGUGAGGUAAUUGACUUGGUGAAAUAUUCUAUAGCAGACAUAUUAAUUCCUUCAAAGUUAGCAUUUUUUUUUUAUCUUCAAUAUUUCCCAACAUAUCACAAACGAAGUGUAUUGCAUCAUCAUCUAUUGUACAAUGCUUUUAGGCUUCAUAAGCCAUCAUUCUAUAAGUUGAUGCCUCGUGAUGGUUCUGAUUUCUAUCCUCAUACCACAAAAAUCACAUAAAGUUUUUUCAUACCUACCUUGGUUGCUACCUCACUCUACAUAAUAGGUACUCCAUAUCUUACUAUUUAUGAGUUCUACAACACAACAAAUAAAAGGCCUUGUAUAUAUUGAAUUAUGGAAUUAUUAUAAGUAGGAAUAACACUUGCCUCUCAGACUCCACUCAUGGAAUUACACUGGAUAUGUUGUGUUUGUAUUAUCAAUAGAAAGUUUAUUACAUAGUAAACUCUUCAUGAAAAUUGAAAUCUUGAAUAGAAACUUCCUAUGCCAUAUUUUUAAAUUAGACAAAUUCUUAUUGUUCCUACUAUUAAAUUUUUUCCUGGCCCACCACAAGUAAAUUUUUUCAUGUGACCAUCCUAUUCUGCAAGCCAAGAUUUACUCAAAUUGGCCAUUGCAACUUAAUAUAACUAUAAUUUAACAAAAAAACACAAACUUCUAAAAUUGAUAGCCUUGAGUUGAGGAAACUACACCUAAAACUAUAAAUUUUGCUUAACCUUGUUAUGUGGAAUACAAAUGAGUAUUUGUGAUACUUAGGAAAGUUUAAAAUCAGCCACUUCCAAAGAAGAGAUAAUUUGGUUCUAUAUCAUAAAAAAAUCAUUAUUUCUAGCAACUAAAUUUGAUCUUUAUUUUUCACUCAACUGAAACAAUACUCAUUUACAGUGAUGAAAUAUAGAGUGUGACUAAGGAGAAGUAAUACAGGGAAAAGAGAUGAGAGAGUCUAUGUCUCUAGACAUAGGUUUAAUGUGUUAGACAUAGCACGUAACAGACCAUAAUAAACUAAUGGAUAAAACGACUUACCUUGUACAUUGAACCAAUAUUGAAUCGUCAUUGUUAGUCCAAAUGACAGAGUUGGAGGCAUGGUAGCCUUGAGGAACCACGAUUCCCAGCGGCUAUGUAUCAAUUAAAGAUCACAGUUGUGUUGGCGCUGAAGAAAGAGAAUAGAAGGUUGUUCUGUUUAGGAGAAUAGCCGAUGAUCUACUUCUGUUUUGGAAAAGAGAGGAUAUUUCUAGGUCACACGUGGAGUGAGCACGGUUAAAGAAUUUUAAAAAAUAAUGAAAAGACAAUUCACAUUAGGAAGAUAGCUCUCAUUGAACUUACUAAUGAGUCAACAUAAAAUUUAGUUCAAGUAUUAACACCAAAUUACCAGAAUAUACCUCCACAAUUAGUGGAGUCCAAAUAAUGGAAAUGAAAGAACUUGACAAUGGAAAUGGAAAGUGAUCUUUUAUGUGGCUGAAAACGGAAAAAAGAAAAGAAAAAAAGAGCAAUCAAAUUGGAUAUGGACAGAAAUUUGAACGACAUAUUUUAAAAUUUGAAAAGAAUUCUAAAGCAAGUGGAAUUACAACCAUAAUUUGUUUUAACUAAGAGUUUAAUGUAUCCUUCAACUUCAACAAACAUGAAAUUCAACCACUAAAAUGAAAAUUUUAAAAAUAACUUAAUAAGGCAAAAUAAAAAAUAAAAAAUAAUAAUGCUGAAGAUGAAAGUAAAAUAAAAAACAGAAUAUUUAGGAGAAAAAAAAGAGGAUACCUGGACUUGUAAGCUAGUUGAAAGGAUGAAGAAAGUGGGUAUUUCUUUGAUAUUCUGAAGGCUCCGAGGAUGAAAGAGAAAGCUUUAGUCGUAAGCAAGAGUGAAUGGAUACUUGUCGGGUUAUGAUUACAAUUGAAAUAUUAUCAAGUGAAAUGAAAUUAAUAUAAGUUCUUGAUCGUUCUUGACUUCUUCUUGAUGUUUGGAUCCAUGAUUAGAGUUCGGAUUUGGAGAGAUUGGUGAGAAAGAAGAGAAAAAGUGAGAUGAAGAGAACAUUCUGGAAUGGGAAAGAAACAAUAGUU
rnacentral:lncRNA from 1 species